rnacentral:rRNA from 1 species
AUUGAACGCUGGCGGCAGGCCUAACACAUGCCAGUCGAGCGGAUGAAGGGAGCUUGCUCCUGGAUUCAGCGGCGGACGGGUGAGUAAUGCCUAGGAAUCUGCCUGGUAGUGGGGGAUAACGUCCGGAAACGGGCGCUAAUACCGCAUACGUCCUGAGGGAGAAAGUGGGGGAUCUUCGGACCUCACGCUAUCAGAUGAGCCUAGGUCGGAUUAGCUAGUUGGUGGGGUAAAGGCCUACCAAGGCGACGAUCCGUGACUGGUCUGAGAGGAUGAUCAGUCACACUGGAACUGAGACACGGUCCAGACUCCUACGGGAGGCAGCAGUGGGGAAUAUUGGACAAUGGGCGAAAGCCUGAUCCAGCCAUGCCGCGUGUGUGAAGAAGGUCUUCGGAUUGUAAAGCACUUUAAGUUGGGAGGAAGGGCAGUAAGUUAAUACCUUGCUGUUUUGACGUUACCAACAGAAUAAGCACCGGCUAACUUCGUG